rnacentral:rRNA from 1 species
UUGUAAACCUCUUUUCUCAAGGAAGAAGUUCUGACGGUACUUGAGGAAUCAGCCCUCGGCUAACUCCCGUGCCAGCAGCCGCGGUAAUACGGGGGAGGCAAGCGUUUAUCCGGGAAUUAUUGGGCGUAAAGCGUCCCGCAGGUGGUCAGCCAAGUCUGCCGUCAAAUCAGGUUGCUCAACGACCUAAAGGCGGUGGAAACUGGCAGACUAGAGAGCAGUAGGGGUAGCAGGAAUUCCCAGUGUAGCGGUGAAAUGCGUAGAGAUUGGGAAGAACAUCGGUGGCGAAAGCGUGCUACUGGG